rnacentral:rRNA from 1 species
AUUGAACGCUGGCGGCAUGCCUUACACAUGCGAGUCGAACGGCAGCACGGGAGCAAUCCUGGUGGCGAGUGGCGAACGGGUGAGUAAUAUAUCGGAACGUGCCCAGUCGUGGGGGAUAACGCAGCGAAAGCUGUGCUAAUACCGCAUACGAUCUAAGGAUGAAAGCGGGGGAUCGCAAGACCUCGCGCGAUUGGAGCGGCCGAUAUCAGAUUAGCUAGUUGGUGGGGUAAAGGCCCACCAAGGCGACGAUCUGUAGCUGGUCUGAGAGGACGACCAGCCACACUGGAACUGGGACACGGUCCAGACUCCUACGGGAGGCAGCGGUGGGGAUUUUUGGACAAUGGGCGCAAGCCUGAUCCAGCAAUGCCGCGUGCAGGAUGAAGGCCUUCGGGUUGUAAACUUCUUUUGUACGGAACGAAACGGCCCUUUCUAAUACAGGGGGCUAAUGACGGUACCGUAAGAAUAAGCACCGGCUAACUCCGUGCCACCCGCCGCAGUAA